rnacentral:rRNA from 1 species
AGGACGAACGCUGGCGGCACGCUUAACACAUGCAAGUCGAACGAGAGAAGAGGAGCUUGCUUUUCUGAUCUAGUGGCGGACGGGUGAGUAACACGUGAGCAAUCUGCCUUUCAGAGGGGGAUACCGAUUGGAAACGAUCGUUAAUACCGCAUAACAUAAUUGAACCGCAUGAUUUGAUUAUCAAAGAUUUAUCGCUGAAAGAUGAGCUCGCGUCUGAUUAGCUAGUUGGUAAGGUAACGGCUUACCAAGGCGACGAUCAGUAGCCGGACUGAGAGGUUGAUCGGCCACAUUGGGACUGAGACACGGCCCGGACUCCUACGGGAGGCAGCAGUGGGGAAUAUUGCACAAUGGAGGAAACUCUGAUGCAGCGAUGCCGCGUGAGGGAAGAAGGUUUUAGGAUUGUAAACCUCUGUCUUCAGGGACGAAAAAAGACGGUACCUGAGGAGGAAGCUCCGGCUAACUACGUGCCAGCAGCCGCGGUAAUACGUAGGGAGCGAGCGUUGUCCGGAAUUACUGGGUGUAAAGGGAGCGUAGGCGGGAUCGCAAGUCAGAUGUGAAAACUAUGGGCUUAACCCAUAAACUGCAUUUGAAACUGUGGUUCUUGAGUGAAGUAGAGGUAAGCGGAAUUCCUAGUGUAGCGGUGAAAUGCGUAGAUAUUAGGAGGAACAUCAGUGGCGAAGGCGGCUUACUGGGCUUUAACUGACGCUGAGGCUCGAAAGCGUGGGGAGCAAACAGGAUUAGAUACCCUGGUAGUCCACGCCGUAAACGAUGAUUACUAGGUGUGGGGGGACUGACCCCUUCCGUGCCGCAGCAAACGCAAUAAGUAAUCCACCUGGGGAGUACGACCGCAAGGUUGAAACUCAAAGGAAUUGACGGGGGCCCGCACAAGCAGUGGAGUAUGUGGAUUAAUUCGAAGCAACGCGAAGAACCUUACCAGGUCUUGACAUCGUAUGCAUAGCUCAGAGAUGAGUGAAAUCUCUUCGGAGACAUAUAGACAGGUGGUGCAUGGUUGCCGUCAGCUCGUGUCGUGAGAUGUUGGGUUAAGUCCCGCAACGAGCGCAACCCUUACUGUUAGUUGCUACGCAAGAGCACUCUAGCAGGACUGCCGUUGACAAAACGGAGGAAGGUGGGGAUGACGUCAAAUCAUCAUGCCCCUUAUGACCUGGGCCUCACACGUACUACAAUGGCUGUCAACAGAGGGAAGCAAAGCCGCGAGGUGGAGCGAACCCCUAAAAGCAGUCUUAGUUCGGAUUGUAGGCUGCAACCCGCCUACAUGAAGUCGGAAUUGCUAGUAAUCGCAGAUCAGCAUGCUGCGGUGAAUACGUUCCCGGGCCUUGUACACACCGCCCGUCACGCCAUGGGAGUCGGUAACACCCGAAGCCUGUAGUCUAACCGCAAGGAGGACGCAGUCGAAGGUGGGAUUGAUGACUGGGGUGAAGUCGUAACAAGGUA